rnacentral:rRNA from 1 species
UACAGAGGUCCCGAGCGUUGUUCGGAUUCAUUGGGCGUAAAGGGUGCGUAGGUGGCGGGGUAAGUCAGGUGUGAAAUCUCGGGGCUCAACCCCGAAACUGCACUUGAUACUGCCUUGCUCGAGUACUGGAGAGGAGAUUGGAAUUUACGGUGUAGCAGUGAAAUUCGUAGAUAUUCGGAAGAACACCAGUGGCGAAGGCGGCUCACUGGCCCGGUACUGACGCUGAGGUGCGAAAGCGUGGGGAGCAAACAGG